rnacentral:tRNA from 1 species
GGGUACAUAGCUCAGUGGUGCAGUGCAUGCUUAGCAUGCACGAGGUCCUGGGUUCAAUCCCCAGUACUUCCA